GACGAACGCUGGCGGCGUGCUUAACACAUGCAAGUCGAACGGUAAGGCCCUUUCGGGGGUACACGAGUGGCGAACGGGUGAGUAACACGUGGGUGAACUGCCCUGCACUUUGGGAUAAGCCUGGGAAACUGGGUCUAAUACCGGAUAGGACUACGCGAUGCAUGUCGUGUGGUGGAAAGCUUUUGCGGUGUGGGAUGGGCCCGCGGCCUAUCAGCUUGUUGGUGGGGUGAUGGCCUACCAAGGCGACGACGGGUAGCCGGCCUGAGAGGGUGUCCGGCCACACUGGGACUGAGAUACGGCCCAGACUCCUACGGGAGGCAGCAGUGGGGAAUAUUGCACAAUGGGCGCAAGCCUGAUGCAGCGACGCCGCGUGGGGGAUGACGGCCUUCGGGUUGUAAACCCCUUUCAGCACAGACGAAGCGUAAGUGACGGUAUGUGCAGAAGAAGCACCGGCCAACUACGUG
rnacentral:rRNA from 1 species